rnacentral:lncRNA from 1 species
CUUGAAAUGAUUUCACAGAGUGCUGUAGAGCUGAAGAAGCUCAUCAAAGGCCCUCAAAAGUAAUUGUGAGUACCAACGUGAAAUAUUUUUUUCUGGGAGGAUGGGCAGCAGACUUGACUUGCAAACUUCUCUUCAAAGACUGAAUAUGGAAAUGUAGGACAACUGCAUGGGAAUUUAAAGAUGACUUUCCCCUAAGAUAAUGAUGAAAGUGAAGGUGGAUGAGGAAAUUUCUAAGAAAAAAAAUGGAAUGGGGAAAGAAGGCAAUUAUCAAAAGGAGAAAAAUAAAAAUGAAUUUAAUACAUGCUUCGUUUCAAAACUAUGAACUGGAGAGGGCUUUUAUAUCUCCACAUAACAGCAAGCAGUUGUUCUAUGGAAGAUGCAAGAACCAAAAAAAAAAGGAAAAGAAAAGAAAAUCAGUACUCUUUUGGGACGAAAAGAAAUGUUGAAAUAUUAGGAAGGAAAUUCCAUUCUUUGAACGUCUUCACUGAGCUUGAUCACAG